CCCUAUUGGCGUGAAAGCGCACGCUGGACUGUGGGACCUUAGCCAUGCCGAGUUCAACAAUAGAGUUCGGGUGGGUAAAAAUUCCCUUGUACUAAUAAGUAUUCAUAGCAAGAUUAAUUGAGAAGGGCGGAUUGAUCAGCGAAGCCUAUGAAGGCAGCACUUCUUUGGCCUCCCCCAGUUUUAGCCCACUAUGUCACCAAUGGAGGAAACUUGGUGCAGGUUGGCUUUAAAUUAAUCUUCAAUUAAGACAAGGUCCUCUAGAACCGAGCCAAAUCGAUCUGGGAUGUGAUAACAAAGUGCUGAAGAAAUGAAGGAGGCUGGGCGGGGAUAUGUCAUGCUUUGUUUUGUUCUGCUAUAAAUCUCAUGCAUGCUCUCUCUUUAUAUUUAUCCAUUCUUUCCCUGAAGAUGAAGGUCAUUCCACCAAAAUUGAUCCUGUCUAUGAUGAUAUCACUUCCCUUUCAAGCCAAAGUUAACAUCUGCCUUCACUAACUCCAUUUGUAUUUGUGUAUGUUGGUGACAAUGGAACCUAGAUUCGUUGGUUUAAUGUUUUCAUUCUACACUCAUAUUUGUAUGAAGGUCUGCUGAAUCUGAUUAAACGAUUGUUUGGAUAUUUGAGUAGUAGUGUCAACAAUAAUAACUUCAAAUAUGCUUUUAUUUUCUCAAAUCCAAGAUAUCGUUGAUAUAGUUUGGAAGUUAAGAUCAACUGGGUAGAUAAGGGUAGCUAGGUUUCAGAGAUUAAAAGUUUUCUAUUUCUUCUGCUGUGUUAUUUUACUUGAAAAAACGUAUUACAUUGCUAAGUAACUUUAUAGGCUGUGAGACAUAUAUGAACAGGUGCGUUCACGUGUCACAAGAAACCAAGCUAUCCCAUGAGAUCCUACGACAGAUCUCCUGCCUUGCUGAAGAAGCUAGAAAAAGUUUAUCAUAGUUUUUCCACUGAGACAAUAAAUCUUUAUGAUAAUCGUAAGUUCCUAACUACCCGCUCAUACAGGUAAUUCAUAGAGAGGAGGAGCAUGGAGAAGGCUGCUAGAGCCUGAUAUAUUCGUUGUGACUUGGGCCUGACCAUUUGGAGAGGUAUAUGUUGAACUGGUGAGGUACAGAUUUCCAUCUGUCAUCUUUUCGUCAGCAUUUUAUUUAUCUUGUGGUUUCUGCAGUCACACAAAAAUUUGGGUACAAUUGAAAUAUAGGAUUAUAUGUAUAAUACUAUUGAAAUUAGAAGAGAUGCAUAUGAAUGUAUUAGAAGCUAGAGUAGGUGCAACAACCAAAACAAACAAGGCGAACUACACCCAGCUCUCACAGCCACAUAGCUAGCACAAGACCUUAAAGCAAAGUGCCACCAUGAUUCAUACAUGUUCCAGGAGAAACUAGAAUAUGAGCUACAAAUGUAGUGCAUCAGCAACAUUGUCUGUUACUCUGCUUCAUGUACAGUGCCAUUGCACAUUCAGUUAGGUACAUGCAGGACCUUGCAACAUUCAGUCAAGCUAACAGUCGAGCUUUCAGGCUCGCGUAAUCGGGCCGGCCCAUAACCAGGAAACGAGCACGUAAAAAUGGCACGAAAAACAAAACCGCACGCGAUGGGUUCGAUCUCGCGAACUCAAGCUAGGUAGCAGCGACGCCAACCACAUGAGCUAGCUGCCGACUACUCAAAUUGCAGCGCCCCAGUUAAAGUAGUUUAGCGACAGGUCUGUUUAUUUUUCUUAAAUAUUUUCAAAAAUUCUUGGAAACAAGUGUGGAUGAUUUUCCUUCAAAUAUUUGAAUACAUUUUUAAAAUCAUGAAUAAAUAUCAAAAAUUCAAACAAAAUUUUGCAACCUUAACAAAUUUUGAAAUUCCAAAUGUUUAUUUUAAGAUUGCCAUGGGCGGUCCUCACUUGUAGCUCGAUGAGAUUAGUUUUUUCUAUGUUUUAUAUGAACAUUCCCUUGCAUGGGUGUGGUUCGGGCAGUAUCGUGGAUGAGCUCGUCUCGACCAUGUCAGGAUACAUGGAUGAUCAGGUGGUGAACGGCCGACUUGGGUUCGGGUGUCAUGUCAAAAUAGAAGGCACAUCCAUGUGCAUGUAUGUGUGUGAGAGAGAAGAGGGGUCUUUAGACAUCACAGAAGCCGGACAUGCGAUAUUUUUCUUCUCCCGUUGCAACGCACGGGCAUUUUUGCUAGUAAUAAUAAAUCACGCAUUGAGUCUCCAGGUUCACCGUCAUGGCAUUUUUAUAAAAAAGAUCCUACUGUUUUGUGCAAUUAACCCGCACUCCAGUCUUUCGUAUCAUACACAGUAAUAAAUAAAAAAGGAAUCGUAAUCGCUGUUUCACAAGACCCGGACGGACGCAACGCCCCCGUCGUCCCCAACCCAUCGGGAGGACAAGGAUGUCGAACUCAGGCUGCGGCGCUGGUCCGGGUCUCCGGCUCUCCAUGGGGAUCGGACCGUCCUCCGGCGAUCUCAGCUUCCUCUUCCCCAACACCUCCGCUGCCUGAUAGAAAACAGAGGUGAUGAUCUCCGCCGCCGGCCUCCAGAUCCCCGGCGACUGCAAGGUGGUCGACGCGCGCCCACUCCUGGUGGCCCUCCUCUUCGCCGCCGUCCGCGCCUCGCCCGCCUAGGAACUCCUCCGCCUCUUUGCCGCCGCGCCCAUGAAGCUGAUCCAGGCUAAGUCCUGGACGCUGGAUGCAGAGUCUCCCAUUCAAGGAGAAGAGGCAGGAGCUGCUCUCUGGUGCCGAUGGAGGGGGGAAGGAGGAGCCAGCAAUGGCACCAUCAGGUGCUGAUGCUCUCCGGUGCCGAUGGAGGGCGGCAUCAACAACAUGAGGUGGUAUUCAAGAGGUAGAGGGAGGACACGGUUGUACUGGGUGAGGGGGCUUUGCCGAGGAUUGGUGGAUGGAUACUUCUCUGUGCCGUUGGCAGUGCGGGAGGGGAUGGCCAGGAAGUGGGCUACCAAUGGCGUGCUCUUGCAGGUGAUUCUGAAUUUCAGAUACUUUUUGUCGAAGAUGUCUGACAUCUUCAUAUUGAAUCAUUGCAUAUGUAGACAUAACAAAUCAAUUGGGCAUUAAUAUUGUAUCACUUCCGCUGGAAAUAUUUCCAAGUUUACUCAUAUGUAAUUGGUAAAUGAUAAUGUUGCUGCACUCCGUGGUAUUGUUUUUAUGUGACAAUGGAACAUUUUAGUUUUAGUCAGUAUGAUGGGGCCCUCUAGGCGGGAUGGCAUGGACCCAACAGCAAGGAUAUCGAUCAUGAUGGAUUCAACCAUUCUGCUCGACAUUGGAUGCCAUAAUAUGCUUAUGAUGUUGGUUAACUGAGGUACUCUAGCCCCAACCAAGCUAUGGCUCAUCCAACCUCUGGUCAGGUUCACUAUUAUUCAAUCUUAGUGCUGCAUAUUUCUAUUUGGAUGAUACUAUAUCUUAUUCCUGAGUUGUUAUUUGUAACGUGAUGAUGAUUGUUAAGAAUUGAUGCCAUUCUUUCUCCUGCCCCUUCUCUUUGUAGAUUUAACUACUCAAGGAGGUUUGAGGAAGAGCUCGCUGGGCGAAUUCUUCGGUGGGCUCAGCCGGCGCAUGACACGGACACUCGGACAAGGUCGAGCCAGCGGCUAGGCUUAGCCAUAAGGAGUACUGUGGAGGUCAUGGGCGGCAAGGGAAGUAAGUGGCAACAUGAAUGGGGCGCCAUGUUGCAAUGAAGGGCGUGGGCUUAUGGGGUUUUGACUCUUUGAGUCAUGCUUACUGGGCUAAGGGCACCCGAUAUUUUCUUGAUUCUGUUCCAGCACCAGUUUACCACGGUAAAGACAAUCCACAACCUUAUGAUCAGAAGACUGGAUGGUUAUUGUAAAUUAUCAUCCUCUUUUGAAGUGGGUGAGAGGCAUGGUAGUUAUUUUGUAUUGCACCUCAAAACAGGUAAACAUCACUUCUCCUUUGUGGACCUGUGCAUUGUGCUCAUCGAUAAGUUUUGUCCCGAAUUUUUUUCUCAUUUGAGUUUUGCCACAUUUGGUAUUGUUCGAUAUGCUAUUUAAUAUAUAGUGUGUGCUCCCACCUCAGUUGAUCAAUUGUUUUUCACUUAGCAGCGGGUGCUGAUGAACCAACUAUGCCAGUAAUGUCCUUAAUUUUAGAGAAGAUGCAAAACCAAGAACAUGCAUGAGCUUGCAUACUUGCUGGUAGCCGGGAGAAUUUUCAGUGACCAAUGGAAGCUUUGAUGUAUUCUUUUCAAGCAAAAUAAAUCGUCUACUACCCAUGUCAGGUUUCAGCUCAAAUUGUGGUGAUUCUAUUCUAUGCAAUUUAAUUUUCUUGCUAAUGCUACGUUUUAGCAAUCCUUAUCUCUUUGUAUACGGUGCGUGCGUGUGAACUAUAUUUUCCUAAUGGUAAAUCUACUUUUCCCCAUCGUGUGACUUAAGGCUAAUCUAUUCAUGGUUAAUUUUCCUUCAUGUACAAAGGUUUU
rnacentral:lncRNA from 1 species